rnacentral:rRNA from 1 species
GGAGGAAAAGAAACCACCAGGGAUUGCCCCAGUAACGGCGAGUGAAGCGGCAACAGCUCAGAUUUGAAAUCUGGCCCCCCCGCGGGGUCCGAGUUGUAAUCUGUAGAGGAUGCUUUGGGCGACGCGCCUACCGAGUCCCCUGGAAUGGGGCGCCACAGAGGGUGAGAGCCCCGUACGGUAGGACGCCCAGCCCGUGUAAAGCUCCUUCGACGAGUCGAGUAGUUUGGGAAUGCUGCUCAAAAUGGGAGGUAAAUUUCUCCUAAAGCUAAAUACUGGCCAGAGACCGAUAGCGCACAAGUAGAGUGAUCGAAAGAUGAAAAGCACUUUGAAAAGAGGGUUAAAUAGCACGUGAAAUUGCUGAAAGGGAAGCGCUUGCGACCAGACUUGCGCCCGGCUGAUCAGCCAGCGUUCUCGCUGGUGCACUCUGCCGGGCUCAGGCCAGCAUCGGCUCCUCCAGGGGGACAAAACCCGCCGGAACGUGGCUCCCUUAGGGGAGUGUUAUAGCCGGCGGCAGAAUACCCCUCGGGGGGGCCGAGGCCCGCGCAACUGCACGGAUGCUGGCGUAAUGGUCGCCAGCGACCCGUCUUGAAACACGGACCAAGGAGUCAAGCAUUAGUGCGAGUUUUUGGGUGCAAAACCCGCUGGCGAAAUGAAAGUGAACGCAGGUCAGAGCCUCGGCGCAUGAUCGACCGAUCCUGAUGUUUUCGGAUGGAUUUGAGUAAGAGCACUAAUGUUUGGACCCGAAAGAUGGUGAACUAUGCCUGGAUAGGGUGAAGCCAGAGGAAACUCUGGUGGAGGCUCGCAGCGGUUCUGACGUGCAAAUCGAUCGUCAAAUUUGGGCAUGGGGGCGAAAGACUAAUCGAACCAUCUAGUAGCUGGUA